rnacentral:lncRNA from 1 species
CACAGGGAUACUUUUCUGUCGCUCAUUAGCAGCACUAAUCGCUAAUCAGGAGGUGCUACAUGCCUUUCAACUCCAGUGUUUGCAGGAGGGCAGUCUUCCCAUUGAUCAAACUACAAAGGUGGGUAAAACCCACAUAGUUCUAAGGAGAAUUGCCAAAUAUUGAUACUGGCAGAGAGCUGAUAUCAGAUAAACAGUUAAUAAUACUUCCGAUUAUGCAGUCUUUCAUUUUUUCUCCUAAUAUAUCUGAUUACAUUCAAUACUGCAGGUCGAGUCAGCUGAGCACCCAACCUUCAUUUUAAAGACAGAAAACAAGGCCACAAAACAUACCACGCUGUUUGAAAGUAAUUCAUACAGUGAUGCUCCUGAGAAGGGGACUUUCGAAGAAACCCAAAGAAAUCUUUGGAUGGGAAUCACCCAGCACAGCUUGAGUCACCUGUAGAGACCCCCAUCUCCUCCCCUACACCUCUGCCUGGUGUGGAUGUGCAAGUCUCCCUCUGCUUUUCUGCUUUCAUGCAGAUGACUGCCGUGGAGGUGGAGGUGCUAUGGCCCACUCUGAUGCUCACCUAUCAGUAAUGCGAGUGUUUUUCAUCCUUUGCCAUCAGAAAUAUGGCACCACUUCAUUCUCCCCUUUGAAGAAUAGUCUGUGUUAAAAGUUACUUCAGCUGCACUAAAAUUGUGAAAAAUCUCACAGCAAUCUGCAACUGAAAUGCUUUUUCUCCCGGACUUUUGAGUCAAAAUGGAACUAAUUUCAGUGCAGGAUUGUCCAGCCAAUACUUUCCUUUAACAUCUCCAACCACAAAGAAAUGAACACAUACCCUUGUUGUUUUCCUCAUCCCCUCUGAAGCCUCAGCCAGAGCUGCUCGGCUUAUUCUCUCCUUUCUUGCUCAUUAUCCAUGAGCUGUGCCUGGUACCAGCCUGCCGAUGGUCAAAAUCUCCCUGCACGUGUCAGCAAGGAGGAUGGCGUGGGCUGAAGGACGGGAGCUGGGCACCCUUCCUGAAGCACAGGUUCCAACCUGCAGCUGCUCUCCAUUGUGAGAGCCCUAAUGUUUCCAGCCUGACCACUGAACUUAGGAGGCACUGAGUGGGCAGACAGGACAUUCACAAGGUGAGGUGGCCUCAGGAGCUUCAUCUUUUCAGAGUCUUGUGAUCACAGUGGCAAUGGGGACAUACUGGCUGGGCAAGUCAUACCUCAUGGAUGCUCAAAGCAUGUGAGCAUAUUUCAGGAGUGCUCAGGAUGAGAAGCAAAGACUAAAGAAGAUUUGGGGCAACCAAGA